rnacentral:rRNA from 1 species
ACGAACGCUGGCGGCGUGCCUAAUACAUGCCAGUCGCGCGAAGUUUUUCUGGUGCUUGCACCGGAAAACUUAGCGGCGAACGGGUGAGUAACACGUAAAGAACCUGCCUCAUAGACUGGGACAACUAUUGGAAACGAUAGCUAAUACCGGAUAACAGCAUUAACUGCAUUGUUGAUGUUUAAAAGUUGGUUUUUCUAACACUAUGAGAUUGCUUUGCGGUGCAUUAGCUAGUUGGUGGGGUAAAGGCCUACCAAGGCGACGAUGCAUAGCCGACCUGAGAGGGUGAUCGGCCACACUGGGACUGAGACACGGCCCAGACUCCUACGGGAGGCAGCAGUAGGGAAUCUUCCGCAAUGGGCGAAAGCCUGACGGAGCAACGCCGCGUGAGUGAAGAAGGAUUUCGGUUCGUAAAGCUCUGUUGUUAGGGAAGAAUGAUUGUGUAGUAACUAUACACAGUAGAGACGGUACCUAACCAGAAAGCCACGGCUAACUACGUG